AGCGAACGCUGGCGGCAUGCUUAAUACAUGCAAGUCGAACGGUGUCUUCGGACAUAGUGGCGCACGGGUGCGUAACACGUAUGCAACCUACCUUACAUUGGGGGAUAGCCUUUCGAAAGGGAGAUUAAUACCGCAUAAGACAGUAGCUGGGCAUCCAGCAGCUGUUAAAGAUUUAUCGAUGUAAGCUGGGCAUGCGUCCAAUUAGCUAGUUGGUGAAGUAACGGCUCACCAAGGCAAUGAUUGGUAGGGGAACUGAGAGGUCAAUCCCCCACACUGGCACUGAGAUACGGGCCAGACUCCUACGGGAGGCAGCAGUAGGGAAUAUUGGGCAAUGGACGCAAGUCUGACCCAGCCAUGCCGCGUGCAGGAUGAAGGCGUUAUGCGUUGUAAACUGCUUUUAUACAGGAAGAAACGACUCUUGCGAGAGGCAUUGACGGUACUGUAUGAAUAAGCACCGGCUAACUCCGUGCCAGCAGCCGCAGUAACAC
rnacentral:rRNA from 1 species